GGUUUAGUGAUGGAGAGGCGUCCAGGGGCUGGGGGCUGCGUGGGUUAUACCCAGCAGCUGCUGGGUCCCGGACAACUUCAGGGUAUAGCGAGCUGGAUGUUUUAAAAUGGAAAAAAAAAAAAAAAAAAAGCAUCUGGUUUGAAGCUCAACCUCUGGAGCUCAUUUUUCGCUCGCGGCUGGGUAUCUAACCUCGCUCCUUUGCACUCCGCUAGGACCGGCUGCCAGCCCGGAUGGAGAUGGGUUGCUUCUUGGCUUCCACGUUAGGGUCACCCUGGUAGCUGCCUACUUUGAUGCUGAGUAGCCUUAGGGGCACGACCUUCGGGGCACCAGUUAUCAGGCUGCAUUGGGCGGCUGAUUGCGACACAGGUGAGUUGAGUAAUCCAAGCUAUGAUCCAAGUAUUUUUCAGAAUAUUUUUCGGGACCAAGAAAAGUUAGCACCCCAAGAGAACAAGACAAUGGCGGGUGGGUGAGGAUGGAGGUGGGGGUCUCUGAAAGCGGUGAAGGUAAGAGAUGCUGGCAGAGGAGGAUUUGAUAAGGAGACAGCAGUUGGGGAGCACGCUGAAAAGGGAAAGACGACACACCGCAGAGCCCGCACAGGGAAAAAGUAAGGACAGUGAGAAGGACCCUCCGGUUCCGCCCAGGGCCUGGGUUCUCUGACUCUCAAUUCCUCCCUUUUCUCCAGGUGCUCAGUCCUGAUUCUCCUUUCCUUUUCUACUCUUGAUACUUCCUCGAAAAGGGACUGAGAGGGGAGUGUUCCUCUCCUAGCAGAAGGUCCCUAAAUUGUAGAAAAAGUGCCAAGGAAGAUGAAGUAUUGAGAAUACCCUGCAUAUUUUUCUUUUUUAAAUUAUGAAAGUGUGAUAACACAUUUACAGGAGACGUGAGAAAUAAAGAACAGUUACAUUCAGUUCCACUAUAUAUUAAAAUUACUCUUAAAGUAGAUACAUUAAGAUUUUUACUUGGAGUUUCAAUAUCAAAAACUAGACGAAUUAAGAUUUUUAGUUGGAAAAAAAAAAAGAUUUUUAGUUGGAAUUUCAAUAUCAAACUCUAAAAAAUUAAUAGGCAGAAAAGUAGAAGGAUAUAGUAGACCUGAAAAGCACUAUGAACCAGUUCAACAUAAUUAAGAUUUAUACAAUUUUCACACAACAGCAGGAUGCAAAGAGAAUAUCCUGCAUUUUUACUUUGCUUAAUUGGAUUAGUUUUUCCAGCAGCUAUUGUAUAGUUUGCUCACAGUCACCUGCAGAAGAAACCUAAGACUUUUCUCUAACUGGAUUUCAAGUCAUCAACAUAUACUGACAUAGAACAAUGUUUGUGAAAUAUUAAGUGAAAAAAAUAAGCAAGUCGCAGAACCAAGUAUUUAACCUAAUGCCCUCUUUGGGAGACUUUUUUUCUUUAAUUUUAAAUUUAUUUAUUUUAAUUAGAGGCUAAUUACUUUACAAUAUUGUAUUGGUUUUGCCAUACAUCAACAUGAAUCCACCAUGGGUGUACAUGUGUUCCCAAUCCUGAAACCCCCUCCCACCUCCCUCCCCAUAACAUCCCUCUGGGUCAUCACAGUACACCAGCCCUUUGUUUUUCUUUCUUUCUACUGCUAGACUGAUAUCUGGAAAGAAAAAUACUGAGCAAAUUGAUCAUUUGGGAAUGGGGAAGAAUCUUGAACUUUUAUGUGAUUCAUGUCUAUAUUGUUUACUUUAAGACUUUAAAAAAGUGUAUCUGCAGCAUCUGUUAGUAUAUCUUCCUGGACUUCGAUUUCCUCCUCUCUAAAGGAUCAAGGAUAGAACUUCCUGGUGGCCCUGUGACUAAGACUCUGCACUUCUACUUGGUCGGGAACUAAGAUCCCACAUGACUAACAUCUCUCCAAAAAAUGUAUCAAGGCUCAACUACAAGGUCCGUUAUACAAAUAAAAGUACAGGGUUUGUAUAUAUCUGACUCUCUGCUAAUCUCUGUGGACAAAACAAGAACUGUUACAUACAAGUGCUGCCUUCGGAAGUGGAGAAACAGGGUGAUCCCAGGAGCAAGCAGCAAAUGUGAGCCAAGAAAUGCCCCCACCCAGGGGAAGAUAUGAGGGAUUCUAAAGGCAGUGGAGGGGCUCCUGUUUGCACACAGGUCAACUCAUAGUGACAAGAGCAAGAUAAUUUGGCGGCAUGGAGCAAGCUGAAAUAGAGCUUGACUGCCAGGCUUAAAUUUUUAUUUCUAUUUUGAAGACAAUUUGUGAGUGAGGAAGAGGCACUGAAGUUUGUUUUUUUUAAAGGGGCAACACAAUAAAAGCCUUCUAUUUUGUUUCCUUUCAUCUUUCCUAUGGUUUCCUUGUUACCAGAUGGGACCUUCUCAUACUGCCUUGGAAUAUUGAAAUUGCCUUGGAAUAUUGAAAUUUCAGAUGAAACCAGUCAAAUGGCCAGGCCUGCAAGAAAUGUACAGCACCAUCCUUUCUCUCUUGGCGACAAAGCGCACAGCACUUUAUAUGCAUAGACUAUACUUCUCUGAUAGAAAAGAAGACAUGGCCAUUUGAGAUCUGACAAUAUCUGAAUCCAAGGAUUUCAGUCACUAUUAAAGGAAAACAACGAGCAAAUGUUGGUAAGUUUAUAUCCCUGCUGCUUUUGGAUCUGGGAACAAAGGUAAGCACAAACCACAUGCCUGCUCAUCAGAGAGAAAAUACAUCGUUAGAAAUACAGGAUCAUCUCUCUUAUGUACCUUUCAUUGCUUUGAAAAAAAAUCAUAUUACUACUUUAUUUUACUUUAAUUUUAUUUUGGCUGUGUCUCGUCUCAGUUGCAGCAUGUGGGAUCUAGUUCCCUGACCAGGGAUCGAACCUGGGCCCCCUGCAUUGGGAGCAUGGAGCUUAGCCAAUGGACCACCAGGGAAGUCUCCCUUCCAUCACUUCUAUAGACAUGAAAGAGGGCUCCAACCAGCAAUAAUAAUAGUUGUCAGAAAGUUAUUGAUAAGAGAAUACAGUAACUUAGUAUUUGGUGAAAAAGUAAGAGUG